UACGAAGGGGGCUAGCGUUGUUCGGAAUUACUGGGCGUAAAGCGCACGUAGGCGGAUAUUUAAGUCAGGGGUGAAAUCCCAGAGCUCAACUCUGGAACUGCCUUUGAUACUGGGUAUCUUGAGUAUGGAAGAGGUAAGUGGAAUUGCGAGUGUAGAGGUGAAAUUCGAUAGAUAUUCGCAGGAACACCAGUGGCGAAGGCGGCUUACUGGUCCUAACUGACGCUGAGGUGGCGAAAG
rnacentral:rRNA from 1 species